rnacentral:rRNA from 1 species
UACGGAAGGCAGCAGUGGGGAAUAUUGCACAAUGGGCGCAAGCCUGAUGCAGCCAUGCCGCGUGUAUGAAGAAGGCCUUCGGGUUGUAAAGUACUUUUCAGUCGUGAGGAAGGUGUUAAGGUUAAUAACCUUAGCAAUUGACGUUAGCGACAGAAGAAGCACCGGCUAACUCCGUGCCAGCAGCCGCGGUAAUACGGAGGGUGCGAGCGUUAAUCGGAAUUACUGGGCGUAAAGGGCACGCAGGCGGUUAAUUAAGUUGGAUGUGAAAUCCCCGGGCUUAACCUGGGAAUGGCAUUCAAGACUGGUUAGCUAGAGUCUUGUAGAGGGGGUAGAAUUCCAUGUGUAGCGGUGAAAUGCGUAGAGAUGUGGAGGAAUACCGGUGGCGAAGACGGCCCCUGGGACAAAGGACUGACGCUCAUGUGCGAAAGCGUGGGGAGCAAACG